rnacentral:rRNA from 1 species
UAGAGUUUGAUCAUGGCUCAGACUGAACGCUGGCAGCAGGCCUAACACAUGCAAGUCGAGCGGUAACACAAGGGAGCUUGCUCCUGAGGUGACGAGCGGCGGACGGGUGAGUAAUGCCUAGGUAUCUGCCCAGUCGAGGGGGAUAACAGUUGGAAACGACUGCUAAUACCGCAUACGCCCUACGGGGGAAAGGAGGGGACCUUCGGGCCUUUCGCGAUUGGAUGAACCUAGGUGGGAUUAGCUAGUAGGUGGGGUAAUGGCUCACCUAGGCGACGAUCCCUAGCUGGUCUGAGAGGAUGAUCAGCCACACUGGAACUGAGACGCGGUCCAGACUCCUACGGGAGGCAGCAGUGGGGAAUAUUGCACAAUGGGCGAAAGCCUGAUGCAGCCAUGCCGCGUGUAUGAAGAAGGCCUUCGGGUUGUAAAGUACUUUCAGCGAGGAGGAAAGCUCAAUUGUUAAUAGCAGUUGGGUGUGACGUUACUCGCAGAAGAAGCACCGGCUAACUUCGUGCCAGCAGCCGCGGUAAUACGAGGGGUGCAAGCGUUAAUCGGAAUCACUGGGCGUAAAGCGUACGCAGGCGGUUUGUUAAGCGAGAUGUGAAAGCCCCGGGCUCAACCUGGGAACUGCAUUUCGAACUGGCAAACUAGAGUCCUGUAGAGGGGGGUAGAAUUUCA